CCAAGCUUUGGGACCCAUCAACCCAUGUUGGAUAGUCAGCAUGUGUUACCAUUUGAUUUAGGAAUAAGAUGGGGAGCCACCAAUGAAUCACAGCUGUUUAUCCUGAAAAAUAACUACAUCUGAACCUAGAUGACAUUCACAUCUUUAUUUCUACAGUGGCAUGACCUUCAUCACUGAAAGAAGAACUAGGACCAUGUUUCCAUUCAUACUAUAGAGCUUAUUAUAGUGAGAUACUAAAUAUAUCAAAGCUAACAAAGCACCAUCUCAGCUUGUAAAAAAGAUGAAUGAGAAAUGAAAAUGUUAUCAUCAACCUAUCAGACUUGAUAGGAGAACAGUCCAUGGUGGGUCUGCACUGAUGUUCUUCCAGCAAAACAAGAUAGUCAUUUCUGAGUUCUGAGCAGCGAGUCCUAAAUCAAACAACACAAAGAGAAGUAUGCCAGAAAUAGAAGAUAACAAAUGGCAGUUGAUGGUUUCCAUGUCAAUAGUGGCAAAUUGAUUCCAGGUUUAAAGUUUGAACUUGAAUGGGCUUUUGGCAUGCUGAGUACUAUCUCCAACAUAGGUUCAAUCACUUCAAUAAUCUCAAUCAAAACCCUGAACAGAUCCGUCACCCCUGUGAUAUGGUAGCUACCAGCCACCACUGGAGAAAGCUAAACUAUCAAAAAAUAAGUGAGGCGUGCCAAUCAUGUUGUCAUUACAGUUGUAUGAUGAGCUCAACUGUUCUUCAAUGCAUUUUUAGAACACAUGAUUUUGGUCACAUCAACUUCAAAUGUCUGGAGCAUCCCUUUUGUUUUAAAGGCAAAACUAUGGAUGUCUUUUGAAAAUCCUUAAUUCACUCCAGACGCUGGUUGUUAUGUAAAAUCUGCACAAGUAAACAGUUUAGUUCCACAUUAUCAGGAGCUAGAGAGCUGAAGAUUAUGCCAAGCAACGCCGACAUAGCUGCACACAGGAUUUAAACAUACUGAUCAUAUUAAGAGCAGUGCAGAAGACAAUUUUUCCACAUCGCAAGAAGCCAGACUGUUUACAUGCUGAAGUGGCUAGAGACUUGGCUGUCUGUGUGUGGUCUAUUUUGCAGUAUUAUAACCUUAAGUCUAAAGAAGAGCAGCAUGGAAAUCAUUUUACUUGCAAGUGAGGCUACAGUUUGAUUACUUAAAUUCUCAAGAUACAACUUAAAACAUGUUCUAAACACACACACACACACACACACAGAAUAAAAAUGAUCCAAGAGAAGAUAAACGACAGGCAGGAAAUCUAACAAGUGAUUUCAGGGUUUACUGAAGACAGAAGUCAAACCAAGAUGCCCUAACUCUCCACAAAAGGGUGAAUAAGAGGCAGAGUUUUCCAUCUUAACGUUACCUCCAUGAAACAGUUAUCACCAUUACAGCAGCAGCUGCUGUUGCUAAGAUAAUAAAUCCUGCAGAAGA